AAUAGAUACCCGGGUAGUCCACGCCGUAAACGAUGGAUACUAGCUGUUUGAGCGCAAGUUUGAGUGGCUAAGCGAAAGUGAUAAGUAUCCCACCUGGGGAGUACGGGCGCAAGCCUGAAACUCAAAGGAAUUGACGGGGGCCCGCACAAGCGGUGGAGCAUGUGGUUUAAUUCGAUGAUACGCGAGGAACCUUACCAGGGCUUAAAUGUAGAUUGACGUAUUUGGAAACAGAUAUUUCUUCGGACAAUUUACAAGGUGCUGCAUGGUUGUCGUCAGCUCGUGCCGUGAGGUGUCAGGUUAAGUCCUAUAACGAGCGCAACCCCUGUUGUUAGUUGCCAGCGAGUAAUGUCGGGAACUCUAGCAAGACUGCCAGUGUAAACUGUGAGGAAGGUGGGGAUGACGUCAAAUCAUCACGGCCCUUACGUCCUGGGCCACACACGUGCUACAAUGGCCGGUACAGAGAGCAGCCACUUAGCGAUAAGGAGCGAAUCUAUAAAGCCGGUCACAGUUCGGAU
rnacentral:rRNA from 1 species